UACGUAGGGGGCGAGCGUUAUCCGGAUUUACUGGGUGUAAAGGGCGUGUAGGCGGGACUGCAAGUCAGAUGUGAAACCCAUGGGCUCAACCCAUGGCCUGCAUUUGAAACUGUAGUUCUUGAGUGAUGGAGAGGCAGGCGGAAUUCCGUGUGUAGCGGUGAAAUGCGUAGAUAUACGGAGGAACACCAGUGGCGAAGGCGGCCUGCUGGACAUUAACUGACGCUGAGGCGCGAAAGCGUGGGGAGCAAACAGG
rnacentral:rRNA from 1 species